GAUGAACGCUGGCGGCGUGCCUAAUACAUGCAAGUCGAGCGAACGGACGAGAAGCUUGCUUCUCUGAUGUUAGCGGCGGACGGGUGAGUAACACGUGGAUAACCUACCUAUAAGACUGGGAUAACUUCGGGAAACCGGAGCUAAUACCGGAUGAUAUUUUGAACCGCAUGGUUCAAAAGUGAAAGACGGUCUUGCUGUCACUUAUAGAUGGAUCCGCGCUGCAUUAGCUAGUUGGUAAGGUAACGGCUUACCAAGGCAACGAUGCAUAGCCGACGUGAGAGGGUGAUCGGCCACACUGGAACUGAGACACGGUCAAGACUCCUACGGGAGGCAGCAGUAGGGAAUCUUCCGCAAUGGGCGAAAGCCUGACGGAGCAACGCCGCGUGAGUGAUGAAGGUCUUCGGAUCGUAAAACUCUGUUAUUAGGGAAGAACAUAUGUGUAAGUAACUGUGCACAUCUUGACGGUACCUAAUCAGAAAGCCACGGCUAACUACGUG
rnacentral:rRNA from 1 species